UGUUGAACCAUCCCUGCAUCCCUGGGAUGAAUCCCACUUUGUCAGGGUGUAUGAUCUUCUGAUGAUCUUCUACAUUCUGUUUGCCAGUAUCUUAUUGAGGAAGUUUGCAUCUAUAUUCGUUAGGGAAAUUGGCCUAUAGUUCUCUUUCUCGGUUGGGUCUUUCUCUGCUUUGGGGAUCAAGGUGAUGCUUGCUUCCAGGAAUAAAUUUGAGAGUAUUGCUUCCCUUUCAAUUUCACUGAAGAGUUAAAACAGUCGUGGCAAUAGUUCUUCUCUAAAUGACUUAUAGAAUUCAUCAGUGAAGCCAUCAGGACCUGAGUUUUUCUUUGUUGCACCUGAGACUGCCUAAGGACUUCAUCCGGCUGCAGGAGCGUCCAGGAGUUGCUGGUCCUGGGAGCUGCCUUUGGCCACUGAAGAAUAAGAGUUGGUGGACAGACACUGCCUGGCAGGUGGAACUAUCCCUUGUAACAGUGCUCUCCAGGAAACAGUCAGUACAGAAGAAGAUUUAUUAGGAGGCUUUGGAUCAUAUGAUUGUGGAGGAUGAGAAGUCCUACACACUGUAACCUGCAAGCUGGAAGCCCAGGAAAGCUGGUGGUGAUGUUGCAAUCUGCUGUGGUUUGGAUGUGGUUGGUCUCAAAAGUUUAGGUAAUGGAGGCUUGGUCUUCAUUGUGGAGUGUGUGACCUUUAAGAGGUGGGGCUUAUUGGGAGGUUGUUAGAUCAUUGAAGCGGGUUGUUAGAGAAGCUUGGGUCUCACCUCUGAAUUGCUCUUUGUCCCCACUCAUACUCCUGCCAUGAUGCUGUCUACCAUUAGGCCCUCAGCAGAGGCCAAAUUGAUGGAGCCACCCUUUCUUGGACUUUCAACUUCCAAAACUGUGAGCUAAAUAUACCUCUUUCCUUUAUAAGUUAGGCUGCCUGAGGCAUUUUGUUAAAAUAACAGAAAAUGGACUAAUACACAAUCCAGGUCCAAAGGCCUGAGAACCAAUAUUGUGGGUGUCCAAGGGCAGGAUAAGACAGACAUCCCAGCUCAAGCAGAGAGAGUGUCUUUUUGUUCUGUUUAUGACCUCAAAGGAUUGAAAGAUGCCCACUCACAUUGGUGAGGGGAUCAUUUUACUCAGUCUACAAAUUCAAAUGCUAAUCUCUUCUAGAAGCACACUCACAGGCACACCCAGAAAUCAUGUUUGCCACCUAUCUGGCAGUCAUCCCUUAGGCCAGUCAAAUUGACACAUAAAAUUAAUCAUCACAAUCUCUCACUAUUGCCCCUGGAGUUGAGUCCCAGGUGUAACAGUGAUAACCUGCCCGGUUUGAGUCCUUGUGUGGCUUCUUGCCCUUCUUGAUCUCAGUCCCCCACUCCCCUAUCAGCCUUUCCUGUUCCUCCCAAACAGGCUACCUGCACUCACAGCCUAGCCUCAGGGUCUGCUUCUGUCAGGACUCAACUUCAGAUGUUUGCUGUGUGUCUCCCUUACUAGAAUGUAAACUCCACAAGAUUCAUGGAUGUAUUCCAAGCACCUAGAAUCCUGCCUGACAUAUCAGAGCCUCUGGAAGAAUAUUUGUUGAACACAUUGUUUAUGCAUUGAAUGACAGUUCAAUAAAUAUUUACAGAAUGCCUAAUCUGCCAAGCUCUAUGCCAGGUAUCCAGGAUGCCCCUGGAAUAAGACAGACCUGAGUCCUGUUCCCUCGUGCCCAUAGUCUAGGAGGAGAAGAAAAGCAGACCAUACACUUCAGGUGAUCAGAGUUGAUGUAGGGACACACAGGCCACAUGUGGGGCACAGAGGAGACCUUGGGUACAGACACCAGGCUGACUCCUGGAGCAGGGUUGGCUUCAGGAGUAUGCAACCUGUGCCCCUUGUAAGGGCCCUAAACCUGGUUUAAUGCUUUGCUGUUGUUGUCUUGUGAUCCUUACUCAACUUUGAAUGAACUCUCUACACUUUGAUAUCACACAAGGCCUACAUCUGGCCCUUCCUGGAAUGAAAUCUACACUGAGACCAGGGAGGCUGCAUGGUUGGAGGGAGGGUGCAAAAUGUUGGGUUCCAGGCAGGGAACACAGCAUGCGCAAAGGUUCAGAGGUGUGAGAGAGACCAGAAUGUUCCAGAAUACAACACUUUGGUCCAGCUGGAAUGUAGAGGGCACAUGGAUGCCAGAGGUGGCAAGAGCCAGUCUGUGAAUGGCCUUGUGCAUUUCCCAUGCUCAAGAAUUUAGACUUUAUCCAAAGGCCAUUGCAGGUGUUAAUGGUGGGACAGGAGGCCAUGGGGGCAAGGCUGGACACAGACACUAUUUGUUCCAAGAAUCAAGGGCAAAGAGACAGGGAGAACCUGGCAGAUUUUAAUGACUCUGAGGAGGUAGAAGUCGACAUUCAAUGACUGAUUGAAUAGAAAGAGAGAUAUUGUGCCAAUGUCUGUUUCUAUGUUUACCCGGCACCUUCAUAUUCAGAACUCCUGGAGAGUGGCUCCGAGGCCUGGGCAUAGUUCCCCUCUGGUGCUGGCUGGGGUGGCAUCCUGGCUCCAGCAAGAGAGAUGAACCACUGAGGUAUGAGACUUGGCUGUGGCGUCCCUUCUCUCAGCACAAACACAGGCUCCAAAUGAGUUUUCUGCCUGGAACUUUAAUAUGUUAAAAAUGACGGUGGAGCCAGACUCUGCCCCCAGCACCCAAUUCUUCAGGAGCUGAAGCUUCCAAAAAUUGUGGGAAAGGCAGGAGAGGAGUGAUGAAGGGGACCUAACUCAACACUGACAGUAUCACCAAGGUCAGACUGUUCUGUUCCAGAGAGCCCUGGGAUACACAGUGCAGAACCAGAAGGACAGUUAGCUGUGGUCUCAUCCAACAUCCUUUCCAUGACUGAUGGAGAAACGCACCCUACAGGAAAGAAUCAAACUGCUCAAGGUCACAAAGAGGGAUAGAUGGAGGCUCCUAGAUUCUUUUUUUUUUUUUUUUUUUUGGUACCCAGGAUAGAACUCAGGAUCUUUGUGCUUGUGAGGCAGGUGGCAGUACCACUGAGCUAAACACCUGGUCUGCUCCUAGGUUCUUGAAAGACAUCUCAGCCUGGUCUGAUGCUAUGACCUAUGACCCCUGGCCUCCCAUUACCCAGAGAAUGUUUUUGUUUGAGACAGGGUCUCUCUGUGUAGUCCAAGCUGUCCUUGAACUUGCUAUAUAGCCCAAGUUGGCCUCAAACUUGAGAUUCUCCUGCCACAGCCUUUUGGGUACUGGGACUACAGGCAUGCACCACCAUGCUCGGCUAACAAGUAGAUUUGAGAAGCAUACAACACAAGGUCACAGGAUACCUCAGGAUGCUUUUAGCUUUAAGGAACAAGGAUCUAUCCCCUAGAGGGUUAGGUUAGAAAAGAGUCAUCUGGAAUGUGCGUGUUCACUCAACUGCCCUUGGCUGCAUGCCUUUCUGCAGGGAGGCUGGCUACCUUCUGGGAAAGGAGUGUAUAGAGAUAACUAUUGCUACACGAAGGACUCAUCACUCCUAGACCCUAGCCAAGCCUGGGAAUGGUCCCUUCCAGCCUUUCAGGCCUGUUGGCACCAAGUCACUACUGUCUGAACACAGUACUUAAGGGACUGAGAAACUGCAUGUGGUGAGGCAUUAUUCCCCUUAUCUGCCACAGGCUCCAUCUCAUGCAAGAUCCUUCACCAGAGAAUCCUCUUUAUCUUUAGUGCUGUCCCUUGCCUUGCUGUGCAGUAAUGUAUUAUUUGACUAUGCUCAUAUCUGCUGUACCUUUAUAAUAAACUUACUUUCAUCUUUUAAAAUCAUUGUUAGCUCUUCUCUGUUCAUGUGGUCUGAACUGCAAAUUUCUGCGGCCACAUGUAUGUGACUUCUUGCUGUCAUAGCACCCUAAGUAAAAAUGCUUUAGAUCCAGGAGUUCUCAAAGUGUAGUCCCUGGACUAGCCAGCAUCAGCAUC
rnacentral:lncRNA from 1 species